rnacentral:rRNA from 1 species
AUUGAACGCUGGCGGCAGGCCUAACACAUGCAAGUCGAACGGUAACAGGAAGCAGCUUGCUGCUUCGCUGACGAGUGGCGGACGGGUGAGUAAUGUCUGGGAAGCUGCCUGUUGGAGGGGGAUAACUACUGGAAACGGUAGCUAAUACCGCAUAAUGUCGCAAGACCAAAGAGGGGGACCUUCGGGCCUCUUGCCAUCGGAUGUGCCCAGAUGGGAUUAGCUUGUUGGUGGGGUAACGGCUCACCAAGGCGACGAUCCCUAGCUGGUCUGAGAGGAUGACCAGCCACACUGGAACUGAGACACGGUCCAGACUCCUACGGGAGGCAGCAGUGGGGAAUAUUGCACAAUGGGCGCAAGCCUGAUGCAGCCAUGCCGCGUGUAUGAAGAAGGCCUUCGGGUUGUAAAGUACUUUCAGCGGGGAGGAAGGGAGUAAAGUUAAUACCUUGGCUCAUUGACGUUACCCGCAGAAGAAGCACCGGCUAACUCCGUG